rnacentral:rRNA from 1 species
AUUGAACGCUGGCGGCAGGCCUAACACAUGCAAGUCGAACGGUAGCACAGAGGAGCUUGCUCCUUGGGUGACGAGUGGCGGACGGGUGAGUAAUGUCUGGGAAACUGCCCGAUGGAGGGGGAUAACUACUGGAAACGGUAGCUAAUACCGCAUAACGUCUUCGGACCAAAGUGGGGGACCUUCGGGCCUCACACCAUCGGAUGUGCCCAGAUGGGAUUAGCUAGUAGGUGGGGUAAUGGCUCACCUAGGCGACGAUCCCUAGCUGGUCUGAGAGGAUGACCAGCCACACUGGAACUGAGACACGGCCCAGAAUCCUACGGGAGGCAGCAGUGGGGAAUAUUGCACAAUGGGCGCAAGCCUGAUGCAGCCAUGCCGCGUGUAUGAAGAAGGCCUUCGGGUUGUAAAGUACUUUCAGCGGGGAGGAAGGCGUUAAGGUUAAUAACCUUGGCGAUUGACGUUACCCGCAGAAGAAGCACCGGCUAACUCCGUGCCAGCCGCCGCAGUAA